UCUGGGCCAUUAUUGUGAUUUUAAUCUGUUGAUUUUGGGUUACGAUUUAGUGCAGAAAAAAGAAUUGAAAGAUCAAGAGUGAAAAUUUAGUGCAGAAAAAAGAAUUGAAAGAUCAAGAGUUUUAGCACGAGACUGUCUGGAAAAGGAGUUCUCCCUUGCUGGUAGAACAUACCAAAGGCAGGAUUUUGAGGAAAGUGGUUCUUGGAGGUGGUGAGCAUGUAUCAGCUAUUACAACUACUGAUUAAAGUGCUGGAAGGGCGACUAAUGUCAGUUCCAUAUUGGCCAAAUCUGUUCCUUCUGAUGAUCGCACUUAUGUAUCAAGCACAGAUUGUAGGAACAUGUGGCUAUACUUCCCGGGAGUACAUUUCCACAGGUCAUUUGUAUGUGAAAAGUGAUGUAUACGAAUUUGGGGAUGUUUUGUUAGAGAUACUAAUUGGUAAGUGGAUAGGUGAGAUAAUAUGCCUUUUAUUUAUGUUGCAGGAGCUGCUUUUGGGUUCUGGUACCAUUGUGACUUAUUUGUUAGGUUUUGGGCAAGUCGUUAGCUCCUAAUUCCUCCCCUAAUUACUCUUGAAUCUUAUUGUAUUCGAACCAUAAUUGAGAGAUAUAAUAUGUAGCCUAGCACACAAUUUCAAUAUGGUAUUUUGUUUCUAUGUAAAGCCGCUAUGUAUUCAAAGGAGUUUAUGGUGAUGUAUAUUCAUUAAAGUUGUUUUGUCUCCAUGAGAUCCAUGACUAUCAUAUGAUUCACUGAAUUUGAUUCUCAAUUACCCGUGGCUUCUAAGACUUUCCAAUAUUUACUUUAUUCUAUAUUUACUUUAUUCUAACCAAUGCAAGGAAUUACUGAAGGCCUACUCUAAAUGUCAAAAAUAGUGCGGAAAUUAUUUCUUUACAAAAUGAAUGGCUAUCACAAGCAUGUCAGGUUCCAAGGCCACCUCCUACUGGUAGCAAAGGAAUGUGUCUGAUGUAAUAUAUAUAAAACAUGGUGGUGGGACUAGCAUGAAGUUGUUUGAUCCAUGUAAUUCAAUGUUAUCUAGCGAGAAAAAAGUUUGGUUUGUCGCUGCAUAAUUUGUCUAUUUCUUACCGAUAUGUCUUCAAUAUUAUUGCGAAAUUUGCUCGGUAAUAUAUGCUGAUUACUAAUGAAAAUCAGUACUAAGAUGGAUCUUGAUAGCUAUGGCGAUCAGGUGUUGACAACCAUUGGUAACUUCUACUGCAUUGUUUCCAAACCUGUUCGGGUAACCGUCGGCGAUGCUGGUGCCGAGUGGUUCUGAUACUGUUAUGCCUAAUCAGAAGUUGAAGAUUGGCGUGGUUUUGUCCGGUGGUCAAGCUCCUGGAGGACACAAUGUGAUUUCUGGAAUUUUCGAUUACCUUUAAGAUAGAGCAAAAGGAAGCACAUUGUAUGGUUUUAAGGGUGGUUCUGCUUACAUCAUGAAGGGCAAAUACAUUGAACUCAACUCUGAAUUUAUUCAUCCUUAUUGAUGUGAAAACAGGAUCUGUGGUUGUGAAGGUAUAUGACAGAAAUUUAUAGUAAUGACACUGAAUACUGAGGUUGAUGAUAAUGGAAGAGAGAACAAAACCAACCAAAAAGUUUCAUUCUACAAACUCUUCACUUUUGCAGAUGCUGUUGAUGUGAGUUUGAUGAUCAUUGGUAAUAUCUCUGCCAUUGCUAAUGGAAUGUCACAACCUAUCAUGACUCUUAUCCUUGGCAGAAUUAUCAAUGCCUUUGGUAACACUGAUCCACACCGUACUCUCAUUGUUGUUUGUUUACCUCACUGUUGGGACCGGAAUCGUAUCGUUCCUACAGGUAUUGUGUUGGAUGGUUUUAAUCGAUGGAUUGUUCGAGCCAUUCGACAUGAUUGCUGCUCAGCGUUACAUUCUUGCAGUUCACAAGUAUAAUAACGUCGCAAGUGGUUUUCAGUUGCAGAAUAGACAGUUUGGGAGGGAUUUUAUUGCAGGGCAACUUUUGCAUGACUUUGUAGGAUGAAUCUCCAAUCUACUAAGACAUUAAAGUGUUGUAUUAUAAUUCUUUUUCUGAUAUAUUUGUUUAGUAGGAUAUAAUAUAUGUAUCAUUGUCUCUAGAACAUUUGUAUUUACUGUAGUUGGGGGACCAGUACCAUGAAACUAAUUUGACCAUGUCUGUGUGAUAGUUGAAUGCAAAUAUCCUGUUGCGUUUUCA